rnacentral:rRNA from 1 species
GACGAACGCUGGCGGCGUGCUUAACACAUGCAAGUCGAACGGAAAGGCCCUGCUUUUGUGGGGUGCUCGAGUGGCGAACGGGUGAGUAACACGUGAGUAACCUGCCCUUGACUUUGGGAUAACUUCAGGAAACUGGGGCUAAUACCGGAUCGGAGCUCCUGCUGCAUGGUGGGGGUUGGAAAGUUUCGGCGGUUGGGGAUGGACUCGCGGCUUAUCAGCUUGUUGGUGGGGUAGUGGCUUACCAAGGCUUUGACGGGUAGCCGGCCUGAGAGGGUGACCGGCCACAAUGGGACUGAGAUACGGCCCAGACUCCUACGGGAGGCAGCAGUGGGGAAUAUUGCACAAUGGGCGGAAGCGUGAGGCAGCAACGCCGCGUGCGGGAUGACGGCCUUCGGGUUGUAAACCGCUUUCGCCUGUGACGAAGCGUGAGUGACGGUAAUGGGUAAAGAAGCACCGGCUAACUACGUG